rnacentral:tRNA from 1 species
GACAACAUAGUUUAAGCUGGUUGGAAAGAUGGCUACUCUGCGAGUAGUCGGUGAGAUAGGAUCUCUGUUG